CACAAGUAUUUCUCCAUUGAUAGAGAUUAUCUCCUCCCAACGGCUUAGAUGAUACAGGAAGGCUACAGAAGAUUGGAAUUGGAUACUUAUCCCUCCCCAAGAAAGAUAAGACUCUGGGAAAAUCUUUUCCCUUGAGAGUAGGCCUUUGUUAAGGAAAACUCUCUGGGUACAUUUGACAACGACUAUUCUUGCCCUCCCUCUGCCAGAGCCAUAAGUUCACGAUUCUUGGAUCUUUUCUGUUAGAACCUGAUGGGGUUCCUGGAAGUAAAAUCCAUGAAACUGUGGGACUUCUUCUAAGACUGUGAUCCUCAGGAGUUUCUUACUCUCAUCAUAGUCCACAUUCAGCUUCCAACAAUUCAUCAAAAUUACCAUGUUUCAAAAUAAAUAAAAUAGAAGGGAAGCCUAGAAGAAGUGAAAGGAACGCCUUCUCUGCUGAUGGAUAUACCACAGACUUUGAGGAUUUCCUAGCAAAUGGGAAAACCAUUCGUGUUCAGAAGACCUGUGUUCAAACCCUAGUUGCUUUCCUGACAAACUGUGAGGUCUUAAAGAUCCUACUGUCUCCAAGCCUGUAAAGCUGGAAUAGUAGCACCUAGAUCGUGUGCAACAGCACCUGAUGAGCAUCAGCCCUUCAAAACUGUUAUCUGAUUGCUUCUUUUUUAAAAGAGAGUGGGAAGACGGCUGGUGCUGGCUGAGGUGAAAUAAGCCUGCUGAAGCCUAACUCUCCAGCUGAUGACAACUAAAAGCUAUGGACAAAAUACGAAAAUUGGUGCUAUGAGAACUCUGACAUGUACAUAAGAGCAAGCAGAUGGGGGAAGGAAGUCAAAAUCUGAAGAAAGACCAGCGGUGAUGUCUCCUAUUUGGUUCUUUGUUCCUUUAACUCCAGGCUUUGAUCAGCAGACAAAGCCAUAUUGAGGAAUUGUGCAGUGCGUACAGGCAGCCGAAACUUCAAGAAGAUCUCUUCUUCUGACCACAAUACCAGGAUAAAGGACUCCAUCAAUUCACAGAGUAGGGGGAAAAGUCCCAUUUUGUUUCUUUUUUCUCUCCUACUCAUCCUGAGGCCAGCAUCAGCUGCUGAGCUGCACUGUUGCAACUGAGGCAGAGGUAGCUGAAAGUCCAAGGGCAAGCCCAUCUCUCGGGAUAAAGGGACCAGGGAAAGGAGCCUCUGUUCUGCAGUGUGGAGGGCAUCCCUGUGAUUUCUUUUUCCUCUCUAUUCUCUUGCUUCUUCUCCCUGUGAGCAGGCCCAUUCACACUAAACUGUAAACCUGUGCAGGUGGCUAAAACUGAGAGAACUCCAUUUUUUUUUUAGCCAGCGGAAUAGAGUUAAAGGGCUCGUGGGACUCACAGAGUGUGAGGAGUUCAUGGAGUUGGAGAAGCAGAUCCCCUAAUUCUUUGUAUAAAUUGACACAAAUCCCAGUCUCAGCCUCAAGCUGCAGAUGUGUGGAACACACCCAAAGAAGCAUAGUAAAGGCUUUGAUAUUGGAUGUAUAAUAUAAACCACCACCCAAGUCCCAGAUUAACCCUACCAGCAGCUUAUGUGAGGAGUAGACCCAAAGAGCAUAGCAAAGGGCAUUGGUAUCACCACCUACAGAAAGAAAGACAGAACUUGUGGUGUAAACUUAACUCAGUCGACUGCUUGCUCAAAGAAAAGCAAAUAAAAUUUCUCCAGAGGAAUUUCAAAGGACCCAGAUCCCACAACAUAAGAUUAAAAAUGCCCAUGAUAAAAUUUUAAAAAGUACUAGAUAAACAAAAGAGGAAAAUAUGACCAAUUCCUAAGGAAAAGCAUAACAAAACAAAACAAUGAACAGAUGCCAACCCUGAUAUGUUGGAAUUACCAGACAAAAGGUUUAAAGCAGAUAAUAGAAUCAUCUGCUAUGAGGUAAACACCUUUGAAAUUGACGUCAAGAUAGAAGUUCUUAGCAGAAACUAGAAAUUAUAAAAAAGAACCAACUGGAAAUUUUAAAACUGAAUAAUGAUACAAUACCUUAAAUAAAAAUACUAGCUGGAUGAGCUCAUUAUCAGAGUGCAGCUGAUAAAGAGUCGAUAAACAGAACACAGAUCAAAAGAAAUUAUCCAAUUUGAAGAAGAGUAAUAAAAAGAAUUAAAAAAAUGAACAAAUCCUCAACAAUAUCAAAUAUUCUAACACCUAUGUCACUGAAGCCCUGAAAGAGGGAGAAAAAUAUUUGUAGAGAAAAAUGUUUGAAGAAAUAAUGUCUGAAAAUUUCACAAAUUUAGUGAAAGACAUAAAUUUACCAGAUUUUGCUCAGUAAGCUGCAAAAGAAUAAUUUUAAAAAAAUGCCAACACACACCAUAAUCAAAUGACUGAAAACAGUGACUUAAAUACCAAGAGGAGAGAAAUUGAAGCAUACUAUUGUAAUGUUCUUACACUAUAUGUGAAGUGAUAUAAAAGUAAGCAUCUGUUUCCUGUAACUGUGAUAUUUUGGCAUUAUUUUAAAAUUAUGUAGAUAUAAAGACACAUCCCAGCUUGAGUCUGUGUAGGAAUCAGAAAUAUGUGGUGAAAAAAUGAGGCAGACUUGACAGAAUCUAUUGGCAUGACAACUGAGAUGUUUUCUGGGAGAGAACUUACUCUAAGGCAAGAAAGAGCCCGGCAUGAAAUUGACAUUGUAAUAAAGCUUUGGUCAUUGUAGGGAAGAGCAAGUCCAAGUGCAGUCUUGAUUUUAUUUGUCCCCUUUUCUAGCUCUCAUUCAUUUUUAAGCAAAUAUUUGAUGCACAUUAUGAUGAAUGAAACAGAUAUAGUUACUUUCCUCCCGAUGCUUUCAGUCUGGUUUGGAUUGUGUCAGUCUGCAAUGAUUAUAAUUAAAACUUUAAAUUGCUGUCUGCUAAAAUCUCUGUAAAAAAAAAAGGAGAUAUAGUUCCUGCCUUCAUAGAACUUACAGUCUACUUCUAACAAAAGAUGAUACAUGGGACUGAGGGAAGCUUUCUCCCACACUUUAUCACAAAAUAGUAGUCAACUUUGGCAUACUAAGAAUGCUGGUGAAUUGAUAAAGAUUCCAGCAGGGAACUGGCUCCAGACAGAGCAAUAGCAGGGUUAGCAAGAUACUGGCGCAGCAGUGAGAACUAGCAGAAGUAUAUUUUGCACAGUGAAUGAUAGUGAAGCUAGCAAAGACUUUUGAGCCUGUUCGUCCAGCAGGAUCUGAUUUUUUUUGUAACUGCAAGUGAGACAUUUCCCAAGGAUUCUCAGAAAUACUUAAGGGACUCUACAGAAGGCUGAGAUCCUAUAAGCAGGUGGGGACAAGAGCCAGUGAAAUUUGAAUGCUUACCUAAUAUGCGACCUCAAGUAUUCUCAGAAACUGGUGAGGCCUGGGAAAAGUCAAACUGUAUUUGAAUGUCUGUGGGUAUGUCUGAUUUUUGCACGUAUGAGAUUUCAGAGCAGGCAUCCAGACACAAUCAAUUCCAGAUGCAAGUUAAACUUACAUUAUAUAAGUUAAAAAUUAUCUUUCAUGAUAGAAAUAUAAACAUAAUACUGACUGUUCUGUUAUUUCCCCUUUCAAGCAUUAAUAGAAUUUGUCUACAUUAAUUGGGCAUGCACAUAUGCUUAUUUAGAGUAUGGUAAUCUAUUCUUGUACCCUCCUGACCUUGAUUCUUUCUCUUCAGAUAGCUUAAAGAGUCUGGAUGAGAAAUCGCUAUGGGAUGCAUCUCUAUGGCUUCACUAAUGAUAUAAGAACAUAGCUGGGUUUUAUAUCAAGAUGUAGGACUUGGCUUUAAUGAUAAUACGAACUAGGAAACCAAAGAUUGGAGCCAACGCUUCAAGAUAGCUCUCAGUUCUAUUUCAAAAAGCCAGGCCCCAAAUAGAUUCUCUCGUUGUGAUUUAAAGCAAUAGUUGUAAAUUUCUUUUUUCACUGCGUCUCACAGAAUAGAUAAAGACUGCAUACUCAUCACAUUUCCAUAGACAGAUUCCGAUUUCAGUUAUGGGUAAUGAAAUACAUAAAAUAGUCAGUCAGUGUGUUCUCUCUCUUUCUUUUCCACUCAAGACAGGGUAAGGGAAUAUACACUACAAAGGAUAGCAUAAUUAUAAG
rnacentral:lncRNA from 1 species